AAAAAAAAUAAGAAAAACGCACGCACGCCCGAAGUAAAAACGAAAAAAAAUAGAAACGACGCACGCGCCUCACGCACACAAGCGCCGCCGCACGUCCUGCUCAACCCCGCCGCCGCCGCUCACCCUCCCUUCCUGCCGCCACCGGUCGCCCCCCUCCUCUCGCCCGCCUCCCCGCCGCCAUCACUCCGUGGACGCAGAUCAGGAAACGAGGCGCAGGGAGGGAGCAAUGGUGGUGGAGGGGAAUGGCCGCGCCGUUAAGAUCACCCAUUGGUGUCUGCAUCAUGGAGAAGAAGAUUCUUGAGAGGCUCCGCGCAUUUGGAGAAUUCGAGGUGUUAUGCAAUACAGAGGGCCUAGCGGCAAAAUCAAUGGAAUCUGGGCCAAACAAAGAUCAUGCCGCCUUUCAUCCUGCUUUGCAACCGGCCUAUUUCAGCAGUAAGAAGAAGAGAGGUUGGCUGGCCCAUUUUGCAGAGAGAGAUGAACCGUACCUACCAUCGCAAUAAGCAAGCACAACCAUGUUUUGCUCUGCCUUUAGUAUUUAUAAAAGAUUUGAAUUUUGAGACUCUCAAAGUCACAGCGUGCUCUGUGACAUCACCUUCACCAUCACGGCGGAUUGACUUAUGUCAAUUUAUUGUUGUAUGGCUAGCUGAAUGCCCGUGAUUACUAAUGUGCUUUCAUGCGUGCAAUGCAACAACCUCUUGGGGCCUGAUAUUGGGGGCAACAAAUUUCCCCGGCCAUCGGGAAUUUAGAAAGCUUUGGGCCAAUGUGGUGGCAAGUUGUCUCCUGGAAUGACAUGUUUUUAGCUACU